rnacentral:rRNA from 1 species
UGCCAGCAGCCGCGGUAAUACGGAGGGUGCAAGCGUUGUCCGGAUUUAUUGGGUUUAAAGGGUACGUAGGCGGCCGAUUAAGUCAGCGGUGAAAGCCUAUAGCUCAACUAUAGAAUUGCCAUUGAUACUGCUACUCUUGAGUUUGGUUGAAGUAGGCGGAAUACGGCAUGUAGCGGUGAAAUGCAUAGAUAUGCCGUAGAACACCGAUCGCGAAGGCAGCUUACUAAGCCAUUACUGACGCUAAGGCACGAAAGCGUGGGGAGCAAACAGGAUUAGAUA